AGAAUAGAAUGCCUCUUCCUCCAUUCUUUGUUAGGCUAACAUCUCAUCUUACAAGCCAUGCUCAGGUGCCAUAGUUCCAGGAAGCUGUCCCUGCCCCCAUAGCCAUCCCUCUUGGGGUCUUCCUCUGGGGUCCCAUAGCACUCUAAGCUUACCUCUAUCCUAUUAAAUAAAAGUCACCUGCUUAUCCGCCAGCCUCCCCCUUGAGGAUGUGAACUCUCUACAGAUAGGGAGGGAACUGUCUUCAUGACCUUACCAAGCAUACAGCCUGGCACACAAUGGCACACUGAACACACGUGUGUCGAAUGAAUGAAUACGCUACACUCUUGUAUGGGAGUGAGUCCCAUGAAAUGAAGCUGCUUUCCGAAAAGUAAAAGGAUACCAAGAUAGUUUCAAACAGACAUACACUGUCCCAGAAUUCUUCCUGAAGCAGACGGCGUCACAGCAAGGCUGCAAUUAUAGACAUGCGCACACAUUGUUUAAAAAAAUUCAUAGAAUGCACUUCACACUGACUUUUUUUUUCUUAUUGGAAACCUGUUUACAAUCUUGUCCACUGUCAGUCUUAAAUGUCACUUUUCAGAAAGCUGGCUGCUGCCAGCAGAAAUUUAUUUUCAACUUGAAUCACAGCAUGUUCAUGCAGAGAAGCGCCUCUUUUGAAUCUCCAAAUUGGAGGGAAUUCAGGGAAGAGAAAGUGAGGUGAUUAGAAUCUGCAGAGGCCGACUCAGGAAGAAAAAUUAUGAGGCUAAAAUAUGCAUGUGUGAGCUAAACAGCAGCUAUUAGUUGGUGGAGGUGGCAAUGGUGGGGAUGGCAACUACCUAGAAACCUACCAGGACAGUGAGGCUGCAUAGCAACACGUGGAAACAAGGAAGCGGGAGCGGGAGGAAGAAACAGUGAGGGAAGCCCAGGCACCAGGAAGGACGCGUGCAUUUACAGACGGCCCUCCUGUGCCAGGUGCUGCCGAAGAGGCCGUCCUUCACUCAGCCUUUGCCCAGCAGCUAUCAUUAUUCCUAUUUUAAAGGUGAAGAACAGAUGAAGAAACUGAGGCUCAGAGGUUAAUUUGCUUUCCAACACAGAGCUGGGCAAAUGCCUCCUCCUCUUCCUUCAAGGCCCAGCCAGUGUUGCCUCCCAUGUGACCUGAAGCCUCCUUCCCGGAACCAGCGGCAGAGCACCCACAGACAUCCAGCCAGCAGCUCCCACAGGGUGUCCUCCUGCUGGGUACGGGGCAGCCUCUGCCACUAGAUGGGAUCUCAAGGCAGACACCAUUACUCAUUCACCUCUAGAUCCUAUCCGCCAGCACAAGGCUUAGCCUGGACAGGGCUGCAAUGAAUGCUUGCUGGAGUAAACACAUGGACAAUGGAGUCAUGAUGUGAACCCUGCUUGUUCAAUUGUGAGACAGUGCUUCCCCCUCCCCCAGCUGCCUCCGAGCCUCCCUCUUGUUCUCCCUGGAGGGAGUCAGGCUGGGUAGCAGAAGUGGUUACAAGACCAGAGGGAGCAUGGACAAUGGUAAUAAAUAUGUAAAAUCCAGAAUUCAUUACAUCCAGCUAAUUCCAAAUGCAAAAGACACCACAGCCUCUGAGACAGAUCCCAAUGAGGGAGUCUGAUUUGUAACUGACAAUUUGAAAAGUGGACCAGAAUUGUUUGGUCUAAAUCAUGAAAUCAUUCUCUUCUUGAUGGGCAAGAUUAGUAAAUACACAACCUCUACUAAUUUGGGGCUCAAGGGCUUAUCCCCCAGCCUGCCUCAGUUUUAGUUCUGUAAGAGACCCUCUGUGAGGUCCUUAGGGGGCCUCCCCACUCCACGUCCCUGGACUAGAGACCCUCUGGACAUGAACCUCAAAUCUCCAAAGCAGAGGAUGUAGUUCUCUUAAGGAGACAGCAUUAAAGCGAGACGUUAACAUUACAUAAAGUAAACUCUGUCCUCUGGGGGAGAGAUGCUCCACAAACCGAGAUAAAGUGAGUAUCCCUCAUGCGGUGCGCUUGAAAACAGGCACCUUUGCGUGGUGCCUGCCUUCAUCUAUCAUCCCCAAAGAAAGGGAGAGAGGGCCUGCCGAGCCACCCGGGAAAGACAGCUAAUGCUUACAAUUCGGCCAGGCAGGAGGUCUGCAAAUGCUCCCCUCUGGCCUCCCACACUCAAAACAUUUCCUAUAGCGAAGGCUUCAAAGGUAGAGAAGCGAAUAAAGAUUUCCCCUCUGCCCUAUGCCAGCUGAGAGAAUAUCUUCCUCUUCCCUCUGUUACACACACACACACACACACAUCCACACACCUCAGACACGCACACAUACAGCUGCAGGCGAGAACCAAAACCACAGACCUAGCUCGAAUGGAGGGGACUAUGUUUGAGACCACAGAUAAAGGUCAUGCCAAAAGCAAGUGAUCUGAAGUUAGAAGUUCUAGUCCUAUUCCCAAAACUUACUAUGAUGAAAGGAGAGUAAGGGAGAGAGAGUUUAGGUGGAGGCACUCCGUGUGAGCCGCUAGCACAGCAGUGGCACACACAGGAAAUGCUUCCAUCCAUGAAUCCUGGCACUGAGUAGAUGAUCCUGACCAGGUCUCCACCACUAGCUGCAGGAAGCCUCAUCCUUCGGCAAGAGCAAUGAGAAAUGGCCUGAAGGGCACUGAACUUUUUCCUCGCCUAAGUCCCCCAACUUUUUCUCUAUUAACUCUGCCUCAGUGGCAUAAGCUCCAAAUAAAUUUCUUCCUCUGCCUGUGGUACCGAAGGCCCCAGUUACAGCUUGUUGUUGUUUCACAUAAAAGUCAAGUUUGGCUCUUAUCAGUCACUAACACUAGUGAAAAUUAGUUCAUCCAUUUGGUGUCUAAAAGCAGUGAAGGGCAAGUUUCUUUUAUUAAUAGGUGGUCAGGUGGCUUGGGAGUGGGGCUUGGGUUCAGUGGGACGAGGCUACUUUAGACACAGCACAAGCUGGUGUCAGUGAGAUAACUGGAGAAACUCAGUCUCCUUAUGGGCAAAAUGGAAAAACACGGGCUGAACAGCCACAGCUAGACAGUGGGUUAGUAGCUGUUGUCAACACUGCUGGUGAAGGUGCUUUGUACGCUCCCUGCAUGUUCUGAUCCCAACCGACAUCAUCAGUAGUCACCUAGGUUAAAACACAGAAAACGCUGAUAAAAUCUGUAAAGAAGCUGGUGACAAAAAGGACCAGAAAAAUUCUCAGGAGACUGGAACAAUAGGCUGAAACUAACAAGUUGAGGUGUAUUUGGGACAAUUGUGAAUUCCUACACUUUGGUUAAAAAAAAUCACCUUUAGAAGUACUAGUUAAGGCCGGCCUGUUUUGAAAACAAUUUCCAUGGUAGGUGUACAAGGUGCAAAGUUUUAUGUUUAAUACAUGGUUCAGCAAUGGCCAGUGUAGGAUAUAGUUCAAACAAAAGAAUAAUGCGACCCACUACAUUCACAGAAGUAGAAAAUCCUGAGCUGUACUCAAGUGUGGUGGAGUCCAUUAGAAACAGGAAUAUAUCAGCCAGGCAAGGUGGCUCACGCCUGUAAUCCCAGCACAGUCGGAGGCGGAGGUGGGCAAAUCACCUGAGGUCAGGAGUUAGAGACCAGCCUGGCCAACAUGGUAAAACCCCAUCUCUACUAAAAAUACCAAAAAAAUUAGCCAGGCGUGGUGGGGGGCACCUGUAAUCCCAGCUACUGGGGAGGGUGAGGCAGGAGAAUCGCUUGAACCCAGGGGACAGAGGUUAUAGUGAGCCAAGAUCAUGCCACUGCACUCCAGCCUGGGUGACAUAGCAAGACUCCAUCUAAAAAUAAAACAAAAAAACAAAAACAAAAACAAACCAGGAAUAUAAUGUGAGUCACAUACAUAAUUUUCAAUUGUCUAGUAGCACAUUAAAAAAAAAACAAGGUAAAUUAAUCUUCAUAAUGUAUUUUAUUUUAUACAAUAUAUGCUAUAAUUUCAAUACUUAAUCAAUAUAGAAAAUUAUUAAUGAGAGUUACGUUGUUUUUUUCAUCCUAGGCCACAGGAAACUGCUGUGUAUUCCGCCUUUGCGGCACAUCUCCCUUUGGGCGAGGCACAUUGCAAGUGCUCUGCAGCCACAUGUAGCCAGAGGCCACUGUACUGAAUGCGACAAGGCUGGAGUAGGGGUGGAGAUAAGUCCACUGCACUGUGUUCUCAACAGAACCACAUCCAGAAUAUCUGGUAUUUCAGGCCUUUUAGGAGGGACAAUGAUAAACCAGAGCCUGGCUAAGACUAUCUGAAGGACUGGGAGUGAGAACGGUUAGUGGAAAAGAACUGGAUCCUUCUAGCACUAGUGGGGAAAUCACCAGCAAUGAUCCGGUGUUAUGUGGCUGCAGAGUGCAGAACUAGGACUAGGGCAUGAAAACUGUGAUGAUGGCAUUUGGGCCCUUUUUAGAAUGAGGUUCCCUGACACCAGAAGGAACGGUGUAGGCCAAGGCCAGACAGCCUGCAAAAGAGGCUAUCUGUGUGGAUAGAAAGCUGAUGUCCUCUCUGAUCUGAGGCUCUGAGAUGCUAAGUAACAACAUGAAGGAAAAUGACUGGCUGCCUAGCCAACAAACCAGAAUGUACACACCCAGAGACAUUUCCUCCUUCAGGUAGUCUUCUGGGAGGUCAAGGCUUGUUCUGGCCAGCCUCACAGGUAAUUCCAGUGGCUGGAUACCCGCAUUGUGGGGCCUUACCUUGCACAGCUGCUGCCUUCAAGGAGCUUAUAAGUGAGGGUCUGCCAUGAACGCUCUAGUAUAAUGUUAGCUUGCUGGGUCUCAGCUGACUAGUCAACAGAAAGAAGAAGAAGGGUCUCUGAGCUCCUCCCCACUUACAGAUCCUGUGUGACUGCUCUUCCUGCAUCUCACAGAAAAAGAACAUUUCCAGUUGUUCUCACGGACUUCAAGGCUAGAGGUCCUCCAGCCCAUCCAGGACCCUGGGAGCCCUAGAUCUCUCCAGCACUCUCCUUUGAAUGUCUAUCUACUAAUCAUCUCUACCUGAAUGUGCUGUGUCAACAUCAACGUGUCCCAAACCAAACUCCUUCUGUCCUCACCCUCCAACAUACUCCUCUGUAACCCUAGACUUGGGUGGAGUGGGAGGGGAGUUUGCUAUUGGGCCAGUUGGCUUUGUCUUUGACCACUGGGUGCUGGAUCUUACUACCUUACGGGAGAGGGACACGUAACUCUAAAGAAACAGCUGGAAGAGAAGAUUUCCGAGGGACUCCUUCAGAGCAAGAGAGGAAGACAGAGAUGAAUUCUACAUAGAAAGCCUGAGAAGGCCUCUCAGAGAUGGCUUCCUUGCCCUCCCCAGAUGUUCACAGGGUUAACUUAAAAACGAAGCAUCAUGGAGCUGGCAAAUCAUCUCUGCAUCCCAAAGACAGUGCGACAUGUGAUAAUGACUGUGAAGCGCAGCUAAGCCCGUUAGCAGGAAUGACCAGGGAGUGAGAGGCAGCGCUGGAGUGUCACCCUCCAACAUCGUCUCUUUGUUUGAGGAUCACUAGGAAAGGAGCCAUUAGAAAAACGCUAGCCUGGUAAUAGGAGGGAAAUGGAUCUUGGCAGGGCUGUGUUACCCAUUGAGAAAUUAGCAAAAAACAUUCAGGGAAGAAAGCAGGGGCUUCUGUGCUUACCCAUUGAGGCUCUUGGGGAAUAAUGACACAUGGUUACCACCUGAGGAACCCCUGCUGAGGCAGCUGACUUGCCCAGUGGUCUACUACAGGCUCAGGUGAGUAGGAGGGUCCUUCCCAGGAGGGGCAGUGAUGCUCAGGCAGGGCUGGGAUGCUCAGGCUCCUUGCAAGAGCUGAUCCUCAAGUCUGAACCACUCCCCAGGCACUGUGUCAGGUACUAGGGAUGGGGCCAUGACUAAGACACGGCUUCAUCCUCAGGAAGCUCACACUCCCUGACAUGGUGGCACUGGAGCCUUGAGGGAGGCAGGACAGACCUCAUCACCCCCAUUCCACAUCUGUGGGCAACCAGGGAGGUUGGGGGGAGACUUGGUUUCUUUGUGAAUCGAUUCUUUGCUACUUUGCUUAGCAUCAAGUUCCUCUUGUCAUGGCAAUCACUCAGAAUACUGAGAGGGUGAAAGAGGAUGGGCGGUGCAGCGGGUCCGGAUGAAAACUUGGAGGGGUGGGAACUGCUAUGAUGUCAACUGACAGUGCCCAGAGAGCGGGGCCAUCACACCAGAAAUGCCUGCUCCAUUGCCACUUCUCUCAGAUGUCAGACACUCCUUCAUCCAGAAGACAUCCACAGAGUGUCCGUUACAGGGAGUCCCUGCCCUAUGCUCUUCCAUCCAGUGUGGUGAAGAAUCUCUAGUCCCCAGAGGAAUUUGGCUUGGAUCAGGGAUCUGAUUUCUGGGGGUCAAAUUUAGACACUUUGCCCCUAGUGGUACCGAAGAAUAGCCCGAGAAGCCCAGCUGCGGGUGAUGAAUUGUCACUCAGGGACUACGAGUGGAGGCUGCCAGGGCGGAGGGGAAGGCAUGCACGCUGAAGCACCAGGCGACCAUUGCUUGGACCGCCCCCUCCAUUGCUUCACCAAUAGCUUCUGGCUCUCUUUCCUGAGAGCAAUUUGAAAGAAAAGCAAACAUCUUGGGAGAAGCUGGGAUGAUCUGUCUCUAGGACUCUAAAAAGACUCUGAGGUUUCUGGGGGGAACUUCUCUGCACCAGGGAUGCUACAUCCCAGGAAAACAGGGGUCUGGGCAAGUAGCCAGAGGCCCCCCACAUUUCCUAGAAGAAUGGCACAUUCCCCUAGGAAAUUGCUUUGAGUGGGCAGGGCUCAGGGUCUCUCAAAUGACAGCUGCUUCACUGUCAGGCGUUUUCAUGUCACCUUGUACUGCUGGAAGAGGCUCCAAAGAUGAGGCUGGAUGGCCUAGAGCUUCCUACUUGCUAAUAAAACUGACUUUUUUACACUGGCUGUCCAAAGGAACCUGGAGCAGUGCGAAGCAUAUGGGCCUGGAGUUGGCCUAAUCUGAGUUUAACUCCUGGUUUUGCCAUUCCCCGGAAGUCUGGAGGUCCUGGGAAUACACCCGCACCCUCUUGGAUCAAACCUGGGCCAUCUAUGAAGCUGGCAUGGUGGGGGUACGUCAGUUUCAUAGAUGAGACAACUGAGGCCAAAUGACUUUUAAGGGAUAGACCUAGGACUAGAAACCAGGACUCCUGAUACUGAGUUCAAGAUUUUCCAGAGCCUCUUAGGAGCCUUGGUCAGGGGUGGCUCAAGGUUACAGAACACACCCUUAAAAGUGCAGCUAAGAAUACGAUUUCCUUCUGGUCCUCAGAUGGAUCUUUAAGCCAGAUCAUCCCUAUUAAAGGAAACACAGUCUGAUGAUCCCAUUUCCUGGCCUAUGCACAAGUGCCUACUCUGCCUAGAAGCCUUACCCCACCUUCUAACUAUUCAAUAAGCUCCUAAUCAUCUUUUAGGACCUGCCUCACUUAUUACCUCUUCCACUGAGAAGCCUUCAGGCCCUUUUUUUGUACUUUUUUUUUUGAGACAGAGUCUUACUCUGUUGCCCAGGUUGGAGUGCAGUGGUGCAAUCUCAGCUCACUGCAACCUCUGCCUCCCGGGUUGAAGCGAUUCUCAUGCCUCAGCCUCCUGAGUAGCUGGAAUUACAGGUGUGUGCCACCACGCCAGGAUAAUUUUUGUAUUUUUAGUAGAGACGGGGUUUUGCCAUGUUGCCCAGGCUGGUCUUGAACUCCUGACCUCAGGUGAUCUGCCCAUCUUGGCCUCUCAAAGUGCUGGGAUUACAGGCACGAGCCACUGCACCUGGCCUUUUGUACUUCUCUUGUAUGUCUAUCUAUUAUGACCCAUCAUUGUCUCUUUCUCUCUCUCUCUCUCUCUCUCUCUCUCUUAUAAUGUCUGUUUCCCUCACAGGGCUUGAGGAGUUUGGGGACAAGGGGCCAUGCCUUAUUCACCUCUUUAUCACCAGUAGCCAGCAGUGCUGGACACUGGGAGCCAAACGAAUGUGUUGAGUGCAUGGUCUCAGUAAAUCCAGGAAUUCUGAGAGCUGGGAAUAGCUCUGAGAGGAUGAGCUUUCAUUAACACAUGCAGCUCUUCCCGCCUUGGGUGGACAUUCAAAUGGCCCAUGUGGCUAAGUCACAACACCACGAGUCAAAGGCCCACUUUCCUUCUCAAAGGAAACAUUUAAAAAACCACGGGUGUUACAAAUGGCCACUUUCUCCAGGAUGAAAGACAUCUGGGGGAGGAGGCAAAGAGGAGAGAGCAAAAUAUCAGGUCUGUGUGGUCACAGCCCAUGAUACUUCUACAUCUUGAGAGAACCCACCGAUCAAUAUGAAGCAAGUGAUUUCUCAAUUCCUUUAGAAGGACCGUAGGUUAGACUGUUAGAUUCUUUUAAAGACAAGCAAGAAUCCUGCUGUUACAGACUCCUCCAGUUCUUGUCCAUCCUUUUUCUUCUAACUCCCCACACUAAGCUAUCUUCAUGGCCCAUGACACGUAUGGAAAGUAACUAUCCAAGUAUUUUAAAGCACUAUUUUCCUAUUGUUAUAAUGGCCCCAAUAAGGGCACCAUUGUUCCUUAGCGGUAUACAUGCUUCAUUCUAGUAAUUAGCUGUCAGAGAGGACCCGACAGCAGCUUAAUGUUGUCCGCUCAAAUCAUAUUAAUGAAAUGCAAUCCACUCAAAUGUCCUGAAUGCAUAUCUGUAAUUGCGUUAAGCAGAGAGGCUGGGGACAUCAGGAUCAAACUUCAGUCUCUGAACAGAGCAUUACGAUCAAGCACAUUAAUCCAUUAUUUCUUCAGAAUCUGACAGCCAAUUAAUAUACCCGGCCUUCAUA
rnacentral:lncRNA from 1 species